AGUCAAAUCAUAAAGAUACUUAUUGAUUGUUAAGAGUUGCAAAUUUCCUGGCAGCCCAUCCCCCUGACCUCCCAGCACUUUCAAGUUAUGUGCAUGGGAUAGUGAAGCAGCUGAUACUUUAGGAUUCUGUCAGUGUGUGUUCUGAGAGUGAACAGUUCACAGCUGACUGCUAUCCAACAGAACCCAUAAUGCAGCAGUCUUGAUGAGUGGUGGAUGGGUGUGACCAUGCAUGAUCUCAGGUUUUCAAUCUGAGACC
rnacentral:snoRNA from 14 species